UACGGGGGGGGCAAGCGUUGUUCGGAAUUACUGGGCGUAAAGGGCUCGUAGGCGGCCAACUAAGUCCGACGUGAAAUCCCCAAGCUUAACUUGGGAACUGCGUCGGAUACUGGAUGGCUUGAAUUCGGGAGAGGGAUGCAGAAUUCCAGGUGUAGCGGUGAAAUGCGUAGAUAUCUGGAGGAACACCGGUGGCGAAGGCGGGUCUCUGGGCCGAUAUUGACGCUGAGGAGCGAAAGCGUGGGGAGCGAACAGG
rnacentral:rRNA from 1 species